rnacentral:sRNA from 10 species
UUGCGUGAGGGAUUGGAGUGGAAAUCCUUUUGCUUUUGAAAAAAAGCAAAAGAUUGCAACGGAAAGCCCGGCCCUCU